CAUUCUUAGAUUGGUGGAGGAGGUGCCAUUUUCGAGGUACGUAUAUCCCAUUUGUACGAAAGAGCCCCUACGAAAGAGCAACUUCGUCGGCUAUAACCCCCUUGUUGCUGGAUGGGGAGCAUUAAGAUAUAGCUGUUAAUCUAGAGGCUGGAGUACAAAGAAGUGGCACAAUGAUGUGGGCUGAUGACAUUUAUAAUUAUCAAGGAAUCACCCCUACAUUCGCUCAGAAUUUUAAUGAAACUGUCCCUUGGGAAGGAAGAACUGAUACCUUGAUAUCACGGUUUGUACAUCCUAUAUAUACGACAAAUUUUAGAACAUUAUAUAACGAAGAACCAGAUCGUCGUGGCCAUGUGAUGUGAAUAAAAGGACUUGAAUUUGAUGAUAUUUUUAUAAUGUUAGAUAACAUAACUAAGUAUCUUCACAGUAAGAUAGGAUGACAUGGUUUACAUGAUCUUAAUGUUGUUCACUCGAGUGAUGAUAUUAUAAGGAAAAGCGUAAUAUCACAGGAUAUUUAUGUUUAGUAACCAGUAAUUCAGAGAUUGGUAUUCAUGGUUACUAUAACGAGGCUGUAGAAACGCACCCUUUCUUCUUUGCAAAUGGUCCUGUAUUUAUGUCUAAGCCGAAACUGGAACCUCUGAAUAAUUUAGAUUUAUUCUUGUUAUUUUCUAAAAUACUUAUCUACAGUAUACCAUAAGGAAUGAUACCGUAUCGCACCUAAUCAAGUGCCUUAAGAAACAUCAACAGGAUAUCACAGUAAGUAAUCC